AUACCUUUCUCGGCCUUUUGGCUAAGAUCAAGUGUAGUAUCUGUUCUUAUCAGUUUAAUAUCUGAUACGUGGGCCAUCGUCUCACAUGAUAUUAAAUGAAUUUUUCUUGGGGGAAGGACCAUCUCGGUAGCUUGCUACUGGGGCUUUCAUGCGUCGCCCAUGCGUUGCACUGCUGCACGGUUCUGGCGCACCCCUA
rnacentral:snRNA from 1 species